UGGCGUGGCGUGGCGUGGGAGAUGCUGGUCAUCUCUGAGCUGAGUCAUAUAUCAGCCUGUAACCAAACGCACAGCUGCGUAAAUUAUUCACAUUAUUUUCUACCUGCUGCUGCGACACAGACACGAGGAUGUUCUUUAACACAACGUGGCGUCGACUUUCAUGUUCCUCCUGGUCUCUUGGACUGUGUCUCCUCGGUUACUGCUCGUUACUAUGAGGACUGACAGAGCGCCACACAUCCCACACAUCAGUGAGACACACUGUUCCUUCAUCACCGUGAACACACGCGGAUUAAUACGCCGCUGAAAAUAGUCCCCGGCUAAUGCACUGUUUCCUCCUGCUUGAUGAAAAGUACAGUGAGCAGCUGUUUGAGGAAACUAGGCCGAUAUACUCGGAGCUGAGAGCCACGUUAUUAUUAUCAGAUAAAACAGAACAACUCCGAUUAUUUUAUCAUCAAGUAGAAUCAGAAAAUAAAACCCAGCAGACAGAGGUGCUUUCACUCGUCAAUACUGACUGAAACCUAAAGGAUGUAUUUAAAACUUAUUUCUGGCAGAGCAGUUUGUUUAAAUGAUCCUCUUCCUGCGGCAGAUCUGAGACUGAGCUGCAGCUCUGAACCACAGACACAAGAAGAAAACAACCAACAACAACUGACGCUUUAGAAAUCCUAAUCAACUUUAACUCAUUUUAUUACUUGAUUACAUUUUUGGCUUCCAACCAUUUUGAAAACAAGAUAACUGAGAUAAAACUAUUUUUGUGCCUCAUUCUUUUUCACAGCAAAUUUCCUCCCCAUACAAUCAGCAGGUUGUGGAAAAACACUAAUAAUAAAUAACAAAUAUUUUUAUAUUAUAUAUUUAAUUGUAAUAUUAAGAUAUUAGAUAUUUAUUUUAUCUAUUCAUCUUUUUAAUUAAUUUCUUUAUUUGUUUUUCUGUUGAUUUGUAUUUAAAGUUUGAGAAAGUGGACUGUUAAAGUGCAUGUUGUUUCCAAAGUCACUGAGUAAUCAUGUUAAAUGACUGAUUGUGAUCGUGAUCAAUGAUUCAGCUCUACUUCCCAACUGAAACGUAUGAUAAUUAUUUAAAGUAGGUUUUAUUGUGUGGUGGUGUGUGUUGCCUGGAGCUCAGGGAAGCUGCUGGUGACGUUUCAAAGUGAAACUAAUAAGUUGUUGUGUGUUUGUGGCUGAAAGGUUUGGAGGCUACGGUCUGGUCACAGCGAGCGGUGUAGAAACCAACCGGACGACGGGUCUAUAUGCUGCAUGUCUACGUAUGGCCUGUAAACACAUGCCUUCGAAUGUGGUCAUGCGUGUGCAGGAGGCGCACGCACACAUAUGCUCUUUUUUCUUGUUUGUUCAUAUUUAGUCAUUAAUAUUAAUACGUAUUAUCAUAAUGAUUUUGGUUCUGUAAUUAUUUCUCUGCUGCUUGUGGCUGGAGCUGAGAGCCGACACACACCUGAUAUAUAACCACACCACAUUUUGCAUGUUUGGUCUCCACAGUAAUAUUCAAAUUUGUGGUGUCACUUCCUGUUUUUUUUAAUAUGCAGUAAAUAACUGAUCAAAAGAAAAAAGAGUCUUCAACAGUCGGACUGACGGAGGAGAGUCUCUCCCUCCAUCGACUCCGUUACAUGUCUCCGCCCCCAGGUACAUCUCCCACCUACUGACCAGGUGUGUCCAGCCCAGAAUAUUGAUCUGCUGAUGGCGGCCUGCUGGUCACAGCUUGUGAGUGGGGGUGACCAGGUUCACUAUCAGACCCCCCCACUCUGGAAUCAGAUGCUUCGACUUCCUUUAAAUCACCUCUUUGUCUCGGCCCGUCUGCACCGUUUAUUUACAUCGUUUCAUCCCUUAUUCUUGUUUUUCCAUCUUCUUUUUCUUUUCUCUUCCUGCUGAUGUGAGAUGUUUUUUUAUUCAUGCUGUUCUUCUCUUUUUAUUAAGUUCAGGUUCUUUGAAUUUUAUCUUGUUUUACUUUUUCUUGUGAAGCACUUUGUAACUUUGUUAAGAAACAUGGUGUAUAAAUAAAGUUAUUAUUAUUAUUAUUAUAAUAA